AUUGAACGCUGGCGGCAGGCCUAACACAUGCAAGUCGAACGAGUGGCGGACGGGUGAGUAAUGUCUGGGAAACUGCCCGAUGGAGGGGGAUAACACUUGGAAACAGGUGCUAAUACCGCAUACUGAUGGAUGGACCCGCGGUGCAUUAGCUAGUUGGUGAGGUAACGGCUCACCAAGGCCACGAUGCAUAGCCGACCUGAGAGGGUGAUCGGCCACACUGGGACUGAGACACGGCCCAGACUCCUACGGGAGGCAGCAGUGGGGAAUAUUGCACAAUGGGCGCAAGCCUGAUGCAGCCAUGCCGCGUGUAUGAAGAAGGCCUUCGGGUUGUAAAGUACUUUCAGCGAGGAGGCGUUACUCGCAGAAGAAGCACCGGCUAACUCCGUGCCAGCAGCCGCGGUAAUUC
rnacentral:rRNA from 1 species